UGGACCAACACAUGAGAGGCUUCUUUUCAUGGAAGGAAUGUUUCCAAUUUUGGUGGUCAUCUUUGCUAGCAAUUACCGUGCAUUGAUAUGAAGAAGAGAAUGUCUUGUGCUUUUAUUUCCUUUGACCAUGCUUAUGUGGCACAUUGGUAGAAGAAUUUAGCACCUUUUUGACUUUGAAGUUGGUGGAAACGUUUUCUACAUGGUGAGGAAGAGUAGCUCACGGUUUUUGACUUGGAUUUGGGUUUCUAUUUUAAUUUUGCUGCAUGGAAAGGGAUAUAGGACAGUUUUAUAGUGUAUGGGAGUCACAUGUUUAUUGUCUUGGAGAAUGGUGCACAUGAGACAAAGAGUCAACACAUCUUGCAUGGUUCAUUUAAGGAAGAAAGUCAAGAAUUGAAGUUGGGCCUUGGUGGACUAGGAGCUCACGGCCCAAGGGGGUUUUCUCAAGCUAAUUGCACUUUUAAUCUCAUUUGGUAGAUGAAUAUUGGUCACAUAAUUGAUGGAUUAAAAAGCAUGUUUAAUUACCCUUUUGUUUUGCAUUAAUUCACAUAGUAGGAUUAGUUGCUUUUGAUGUCUCUAAUUUAGUGUUGCAUUUUAUAGUUUUACUUGUGUUUAGAUAAUUGUUUGUUGAAAUGUUGGGAUUAACAUUUUAUUUUACCUUGAUGUUUUCUAACUUACACAGUUGAGUUUAAUGUCCAUUCAUUUUAAUUUAGUAAUUUGAAGUCACAAAAACACUUUUCAAAACCCCCCCUUUCGUGUUAGACUUGACUCUGAACCGCAGUUGGUCCUUGAGAGACGACCUAGGGGUCAUUCCCUAGUCUAUACUGCAUAUUCUCAAAUGCAAUCAAAUUGAUUGGGCGACGACACCCAUCAAAUUUUCCCCAAUAGAUGCCACCCAAAAAUUGUUCAAAUACUAAAAAAUUAGAAGUCCAACAAAUAAAAAAAAUGUUUUAUAAUACAAAAUAAGCUCUCCAGCAAAUCAAGUCUUCUUCUUCACGUUGGGAUCUUCAUCAUCCCAC
rnacentral:lncRNA from 1 species